CCUACGGGGGGCUGCAGUAGGGAAUUUUCGUCAAUGGUCGCAAGACUGAACGAGCAAUGCCGCGUGAACGAGGAAGGUCUUCGGUUCGUAAAGUUCUGUUGAAGGGGAAAAAGAGCGGAGAGAGGAUCUGCUUUCUGAUUGAUAUUACCCUUCGAGGUAGUCACGGUUAACUACGUGCCAGCAGCCGCGGUAAUACGUAGGUGGCUGGCGUUAGCCGGAAUGAUUGGGCGUAAAGGGUGCGUAGGCGGCCUGCUAAGGCUGGGGUGAAAGGUACCGGCUCAACCGGGCCAGGCGCUGGAAACUGGCGGGCGAGAGAGCAAGAGAGGGCGGUGGAACGCGAUGUGUAGCGGUAAAAUGCGUAGAUAUAUGGAAGAACACCAGUGGCGAAGGCGGCCGCCUGGCCUGUUACUGACGCUGAGGCACGAAAGCGUGGGUAGCAAAUAGGAUUAGAUACCCCUGUAGUC
rnacentral:rRNA from 1 species